AUUGAACGCUGGCGGCAGGCCUAACACAUGCAAGUCGAGCGGAGCGGCGGACGGGUGAUUAAUGCCUAGGAAUCUGCCGGGUAGUGGCGGAUAACGCCCGGGAACGGGCGCUAAUACCGCAUACUAUCAGAUGAGCCUAGGUCGGAUUAGCUAGUUGGUCGGGUAAAGGCCUACCAAGGCGACGAUCCGGAACUGGUCUGAGAGGAUGACCAGCCACACUGGAACUGAGACACGGUCCAGACUCCUACGGGAGGCAGCAGUGGGGAAUAUUGCACAAUGGGCGCAAGCCUGAUGCAGCCAUGCCGCGUGUAUGAAGAAGGCCUUCGGGUUGUAAAGUACUUGCAGCGGGGAGGCGUUACCCGCAGAAGAAGCACCGGCUAACUCCGUGCCAGCAGCCGCGGUAAUAC
rnacentral:rRNA from 1 species